UUUUUAACUGAGGAAGAUGCUGAGACUUUUCAAGGAGCAACUGAAGACUCAGAGAUGCAAUUGGAUGCUCUAACUAGUAGUGUUGAAGACUUAAAAUACAUGUAUCAGAAAUUAACUGGCCAGGUACUGGGUACACAGAAAGCAAUGGAAGUAUCAGAUGAAAUCUGCCUGGAAUUGAUGGAUGAAGUUGCAGAACUGAAAGGCAAACUAACAAGAUUGGAGCAGUAUCCUGUACACUUAAAAUGUAUAUCGAAUGAGCUUGAAGAUUUCAAGAGCAAUUUAGUGAGCUUUUGUGAGGAGAAUCACAUGAUUCAUGGAUAUUGCAGAAGUCUGAAAAAGCAAGUCAACUCUCUUUCUACAAAAUUAACUACAUUAGAGGAGGAGCUGAAAGAGAAGUUGGACCAAUCUCUGUUAAGCAUGUUUAUUUGCUUACACCCAUUCAUGGAAAGCUGGAAUAAAGUCAUAAAGACAUUGGAAACAAUCUUUCCGAAAAGAGCAGAACUUUCAGCAAAAUCAACCAGCAUACAAGAUCUUGAACUACAGAAGAUAGUCCUGGAAAAAUCAAAUGAAACCGAUGACCAGUCAGGGCGAAGUACAGGAGAAGCUGAAAAUCAAACCAUCACUCUGAAUGUGAUAAACAAGAAUAAUUUAUUUUCACCAUCUUUACAAACCACUUAUUGCAAAGGCCAAGACAAGGUUUGUUUAAACAAUAUAACCUUGGAAAACGAAGAGAACUUCUCUGUGUGCCAAAACUUAACUCAAACAGAAGACAAAGGACCAAAUCAGAUGGCAAUAUUAUUUCAGACCAGGCAACAAGUUUUGGAAGGAAAAGCUAAAACAAUAGAUGAAAAUAUGGGGGCUGUGUUAGAAGUCACGAAGUCUUUGACAAAAGACAAAAGGAACACUGUGGCUUUGGUUGAGCAAGUUGAUCCUGAGAGGAAUAAACCUACAGGUAUGCCUGAAAGUAGAACUCAAUCAGAAGAAAAUAUAAGACCACAUUCACCUGAGUCUGUUUGGAUUAUUAAUAAACUGAAAGAAUCUGCUCUUGAGGUUCUGAGGGUGCUCAGUGACAAUGCCGUGGACGUUGAAGUGAUACUUCUACAUGUUGUACAGAUGAAUCGAGCAGUUCAGCUUUGGUUUUAUGAGGCUCAAAGAAGUAGAGCUCCUCUGCGGUCUCCAAAGGAAGCAACCGACUUCCUCAAAAUGGGAAAAGGAAGACCAGCUGUAAAACAGGUACAGCACAUAACCUGGAAGUCUGUAACCAAACUUCCUCGAACCAUUUUAAACUUACUUUCAUUUAAAA
rnacentral:lncRNA from 1 species